AUUGAACGCUGGCGGCAGGCCUAACACAUGCAAGUCGAACGAGUGGCGGACGGGUGAGUAAUGUCUGGGAAACUGCCUGAUGGAGGGGGAUAACUACUGGAAACGGUAGCUAAUACCGCAUACCAUCGGAUGUGCCCAGAUGGGAUUAGCUAGUAGGUGGGGUAAAGGCUCACCUAGGCGACGAUCCCUAGCUGGUCUGAGAGGAUGACCAGACACAUUGGGACUGAGACACGGUCCAGACGCCUACGUGAGGCAGCAGUGGGGAAUAUGGCGCAAUGGGCGCAAGCCUGAUGCAGCCAUGCCGCGUGAAUGAAGAAGGCCUUCGGGUUGUAAAGUACUGUCGGCGGAGAGGCGUUACCUUCAGAAGAAGCACCGGCUAACUCCGUGCCAGCAGCCGCGGUAAUAC
rnacentral:rRNA from 1 species